rnacentral:rRNA from 1 species
AGAGUUGAUCCUGGCUCAGGACGAACGCUGGCGGUGUGCCUCAUACAUGCAAGUCGAACGAUAAGGUCUCUUCGGAGAUACAUAAGUGGCGGACGGGUGAGUACAACAUAGGAAAUCUACCCUAAAGAGGGGGACAACAGAGGGAAACUUCUGCUAAUACCCCAUACGAGCUUAGUUGAAAUACUAAUCUUGAAAUGAUUUUUCGCUUUAGGAUGAGCCUGUGCCUGAUUAGCUAGUUGGUGGUGUAAUGGACUACCAAGGCGACGAUCAGUAGCUGGUUUGAGAGGAUGAUCAGCCACAAUGGGACUGAGACACGGCCCAUACUCCUACGGGAGGCAGCAGUAGGGAAUUUUGCGCAAUGGGGGAAACCCUGAACCGCAGCAACACCGCGUGAAUGUUAAGCCCUUCGGGGUGUAAAGUUCUGUCAGUAGGGAAGAAUAAAUGACUGUACCUACAAAGGAAGCACCGGCUAACUCCGUGCCAGCAGCCGC